rnacentral:rRNA from 1 species
UGCCAGACUCCUACGGGAGGCAGCAGUGGGGGAUAUUGCACAAUGGGGGAAACCCUGAUGCAGCGACGCCGCGUGAGUGAAGAAGUAUUUCGGUAUGUAAAGCUCUAUCAGCAGGGAAGAAAAUGACGGUACCUGACUAAGAAGCCCCGGCUAACUACGUGCCAGCAGCCGCGGUAAUACGUAGGGGGCAAGCGUUAUCCGGAUUUACUGGGUGUAAAGGGAGCGUAGACGGUGCAGCAAGUCUGAUGUGAAAGGUCGGGGCCCAACCCCGGGACUGCAUUGGAAACUGUUGAACUGGAGUACAGGAGAGGUAAGCGGAAUUCCUAGUGUAGCGGUGAAAUGCGUAGAUAUUAGGAAGAACACCAGUGGCGAAGGCGGAUGACUGGACGACAACUGACGGUGAGGCGCGAAAGCGUGGGGAGCAAACAGGAUUAGAUACCCCAGUA